AGCUUUGCACAGUGGCCGUAUCGUAGCCAAUGAGGUUAAUCCAAGGCACGAUUAUUGCUAAUUGAAAACCUAGUAAGGCAAGUUUGACAGUUUCUGUAUCUCCACCACAUAGGCAGACCAUGGAUUUGAAUGGA